CGAGCCGGCCGGGCGGUCGCGACGGGUCCUCAACAGGCCCGCCGAGGAACGUCCGGGCUCCACAGAGCAGGGUGGUGGGUAACGCCCACCCGGGGUGACCCGCGGGACAGUGCCACAGAAAACAGACCGCCGACGGCUCCGGCCGCCGGUAAGGGUGAAACGGUGGUGUAAGAGACCACCAGCGGCCGAGGUGACUCGGCCGGCUCGGUAAACCCCACCUGGAGCAAGGUCAAGAUCGGUGCCCUCGGGCACCGUGCGCGGGUGUUCGAGGGCUGCUCGCCCGAGCUCGCGGGUAGACCGCACGAGGCUGUCGGCAACGGCAGCCCUAGAUGGAUGGCCGUCGCCUGGGCCCGCGCAAGCAACCCAGGAACAGAACCCGGCGUACAGGCCGGCUCGUCCG
rnacentral:RNase_P_RNA from 1 species